rnacentral:lncRNA from 10 species
CAGCAGUGAAAAUUAAUGCACUAGCAGCUUACAGAAAGUUAGGGUUCUCAUUCUUCCUAGAGAAACUCUUAAAUUUCUUUUGUGCAGUUUUUGGUGUGUGGGCGCAAGCGCAUGCGCGCGCGUGUUGGGGGGGUGGGGUAGAAUUAGAUUUGUUAGAAAAGAAGCUCUUUUCCAUUCCAGUCACAACUAAAGUUCAAACAAAACUCUUAGCUUGCUGGAAGAAGCCUGGAGGUGUUAAGGGACAGCUUCGCUUAAUCUUUCUUUCUCUUCUUCCUAAGCCAUGUGAAGACCUUGC